rnacentral:rRNA from 1 species
UACGAAGGGGGCUAGCGUUGUCCGGAAUUACUGGGCGUAAAGCGCACGUAGGCGGUCUACUAAGUCAGGGGUGAAAUCCCGGGGCUCAACCCCGGAACUGCCUUUGAUACUGAUAGUCUCGAGUCCGGAAGAGGUGAGUGGAAUUCCGAGUGUAGAGGUGAAAUUCGUAGAUAUUCGGAGGAACACCAGUGGCGAAGGCGGCUCACUGGUCCGGUACUGACGCUGAGGUGCGAAAGCGUGGGGAGCAAACAGG